rnacentral:rRNA from 1 species
CUGGAGGUAUCAGAAGUGCGAAUGCUGACAUAAGUAACGAUAAAGCGGGUGAAAAGCCCGCUCGCCGGAAGACCAAGGGUUCCUGUCCAACGUUAAUCGGGGCAGGGUGAGUCGACCCCUAAGGCGAGGCCGAAAGGCGUAGUCGAUGGGAAACAGGUUAAUAUUCCUGUACUUGGUGUUACUGCGAAGGGGGGACGGAGAAGGCUAUGUUGGCCGGGCGACGGUUGUCCCGGUUUAAGCGUAUAGGCUGGUUUUCCAGGCAAAUCCGGAAAAUCAAGGCUGAGGCGUGAUGACGAGGCACUACGGUGCUGAAGCAACAAAUGCCCUGCUUCCAGGAAAAGCCUCUAAGCAUCAGGUAACAUCAAAUCGUACCCCAAACCGACACAGGUGGUCAGGUAGAGAAUACCAAGGCGCUUGAGAGAACUCGGGUGAAGGAACUAGGCAAAAUGGUGCCGUAACUUCGGGAGAAGGCACGCUGAUAUGUAGGUGAAGUCCCUCGCGGAUGGAGCUGAAAUCAGUCGAAGAUACCAGCUGGCUGCAACUGUUUAUUAAAAACACAGCACUGUGCAAACACGAAAGUGGACGUAUACGGUGUGACGCCUGCCCGGUGCCGGAAGGUUAAUUGAUGGGGUCAGCGCA